ACUUGAAAUGGAGUGGAAUUUCAAUGUAGAGUUACCCAUUAGCUCCAAGGCUAAAUUUAAACCUUUAAUUAAAUUAAUCACUUGAUCUUAAACACAUUGCUUCUCCCUCAGGAAAGUGUAGAGAGGUUUCUUAGAUGUCAGAGAACUCAAGUCAGUGUGACAACUGUUACUACUGCCUUUGAUAAGUCACCCAAACCGCAGAGGGAAAUCUGCAGGCAUUUUCAGAUGGUCCAUGGUAAAGCCCCCUCUACCCCAGAACAGAAGGUUGUUGGCGGUGGGGCUGGGGUACAGCAUACUGCCACCCCUCCCAGAUCCGUCCUUGCAGCUCUGGAAGGGUCGCUGCAUGCAUCCUUGGACAGGUACUUAUUUAAUAGAAGACACUGGUAGGGUUUGGGGUUCUUGUGCACCCCGGGCUGUGUAUUUAUAACAGGAGCUGCGUCCUCAGCCUGCAAAUGAAUGAGACACAAACUCAACGGUCAGCGACCGCUUGCUGGUGGGACUGUCCACAUAAAGGGGUGUGGCCUUACUCGUGUAACUAUUAAUAAGGACUUAUUUCUCGGGGCCCAACAAGGGCAGCGCGGGAUCCAGUUAACAAGUUCGCGGGCCAAAUCGCUUCAAUUCCAGUAACUCGUCCCGCAGACCCAUAACCCUCCCGGGACCACAUCCUCACGCGUGACUAGGAGCUCUGCUCGCGCUCCGCAAUUCCCAGUCCAAGCGCGACGGGGAAGCGUGCUCGCCUCCCGCACCUGGGCGCGCGCCCCGGCAGGGAGCCACCAACUCUCCCCGCAGUCAGCUAGGACUACCUGGACCGCCAGGCCGAUCCCCGCCCCGCCACCCGCUCGGUUUUCCCUUCCUCCUCCUCUUCCUCCUCCGUCGGCCCCCCCGCCUCCCGCUGCCUGCCUGCGCGGCUGCCGCCUGCGGCUUUGUUUUCCUCCCAGGUUUCACCCCCCCCACACGUGAUACUGUGUGUUUUUUUUUGCAUAGAGCUUUUCGCAGAGCGAGCGCGGGGCGCGCGCACCUAUAAAUACCGACCCGGGGGCCAGGGAGCCGGAGAUCGCGGGGUCCCGGAGGGCCCGGCACCGAUCCCGCAGGCGGGCGGGCGGGCGGGCAGACGGCCAGCGAG
rnacentral:lncRNA from 1 species